UGGUUCUUCUAAGUGAUGUUGAGGGUCUCUAUACUGGCCCUCCAAGCGAUCCUAAUUCAACGUUGAUCCACACAUACAUUAAAGAAAAGCACCAGGAAGAGAUCACCUUCGGGGAAAAGUCCAAAUUAGGACGAGGGGGUAUGACUGCAAAAGUUAAAGCUGCUGUUAGUGCUGCUUAUGGUGGCAUUCCCGGUAUUAUUACCAUGACUGCAAAAGUUAAAGCUGCUGUUAGUGCUGCUUAUGGUGGCAUUCCUGUUAUCAUUACCAGGUAAAAGGCCCUUCGGUACUCAUAAGUUCUUAGCAUCAGCUUGUUCCCCUAAAUAUCUGAAUCUAGAAGGGAGUCAGAGACUAAUCAAUAAGCUAGUAAUUUGGAUUGUUCGGAUAAAAAUGAAAAUGUUGGGUAAUUCGGAUAAUUUUAAUAUUUUGGAUGAAAAAUAUUCUGUUAAUUAUAUUUUUCGGAUAAUUUGGUUUAUAAAUAGUAUUUUUAGGAUUUUGUUACUUAGAAAUUAAAUAUAAUUAACACUUUUAGGUAUAUAGGAUACUCAUUCGUUUUUUCGGUUCAAGAGAUAUAGGAACCACUCAGUUAUAAAUUCGGUUCGGUUUAUUCGGUACGGUGUGGUUUCUUGGUUCGGGA
rnacentral:lncRNA from 1 species